GAGGGUAUAGUUCAAGUGGUAGAAUGCAUGCUUAGCAUGCACGAGGUUCUGGGUUCAAUCCCCAGUACCUCUU
rnacentral:tRNA from 1 species